UUCCAGACUCCUACGGGAGGCAGCAGUGGGGAAUAUUGCACAAUGGGGGAAACCCUGAUGCAGCGACGCCGCGUGAGCGAUGAAGUAUUUCGGUAUGUAAAGCCCUAUCAGCAGGGAAGAAAAUGACGGUACCUGACUAAGAAGCCCCGGCUAACUACGUGCCAGCAGCCGCGGUAAUACGUAGGGGGCAAGCGUUAUCCGGAUUUACUGGGUGUAAAGGGAGCGUAGACGGCGAUGCAAGUCUGAAGUGAAAGGCGGGGGCCCAACCCCCGGACUGCUUUGGAAACUGUAGAGCUAGAGUGCAGGAGAGGUAAGUGGAAUUCCUAGUGUAGCGGUGAAAUGCGUAGAUAUUAGGAGGAACACCAGUGGCGAAGGCGGCUUACUGGACUGUAACUGACGUUGAGGCUCGAAAGCGUGGGGAGCAAACAGGAUUAGAUACCCCAGUAUG
rnacentral:rRNA from 1 species